rnacentral:lncRNA from 1 species
AUGAGGAGUUUGUUAUGGAGAGUAGUGGAGUGGAGUCAUGGCCAUUACUGUGGCCUGCCACGUGGAGCCGGUUGUGGAGAGUGGGGUGAUGUCCGUUGUCGUGACUCGCCAAAGAAUGAUGGAGCCGCAUGGGAUCCGUUACAGGAAGUGGAGCAGAGUCGUGGCCAUUACUGUGGCCUACCAGGGAGUCCAGGCCUGUCGGUCGAAGCUCG